rnacentral:lncRNA from 1 species
GAUUAGCUUGUUCAGGCCAAAUUAAUGAUUUGAUGUCUCUUUUUAAUUGCCAAUUAAAAGUACACAUUCCAUUGACAAUAGCCAUCCUUGCUCUAUUAAGCAAAACCAACCAGAAGAAUCAAUCAAUAAAAAAACGUGACUUGAAGCAUAUGAACGUCCAAACCAAUUUUUAAGGCAAUGUGGGGUCAAUUGGAACCCUUUAUAUCAUCCAUGAUAAUUAAUCAACUAAACAAGCUAUCAAGCUAGAACUUAGGGCCUAAAGUAAGAGAUCACAGAAAAAAGAUACAAUGCCAUAACCAGUAAAACGCUGUACCCUGAAUGAAUAACCAUUAAAAUUACUACUAACUUGAUAUUGCGGUUAUAUGAAAAUAUCAGCAUGUGGAAGAUAAAUGACUUUAAACUAACAUUCAAUCUGACUUAGUUUUAACCAAUUUCAGUCAUCUUGUUAAUCCUAUGUGUGACACAUUCUUUUGUCAAACACUAAGAUGCAUUUUAACAGUGAUAUGUAAGCCUAAAAAAUAAUCACCAUGUUCUCUUGGAUGGCAGGGCCGUAUAAACAACAAAAUAGCACAAAAGAAAAUAUUUAAACUACAUCUAUACAUAAGUAAAUCUACUGACAUCAUAACAACUCAAUUACAUAUGACUUAACAAGGAGUAAUUGUAAUAGAAGACACACAUUUCCAGAUAUCAUGUUCACCAUACAUAUAUAGUCAAUACAUCAAAAAGGAAAGAAAGUUAACUCUAGAACAAUUUUCUUCUGAUGUAGUUAUUGCUUUGCAUUCUCUCACAGGUACAUUUCAAGCUCAAAGAAAAUCAGUGAAACUAACUACUCUAAUUGUUCUCUGCUUUCCAGUUUUGUUUCAUUAUUCACCAUUGAUAUUUUUUACUUCAGAUGCAAUCAAAAGAAUCAUGAUUCACGACUUAAAUAUUUUUUCUUAACUACUUGCUAACAUCAACAAUAUCUCUUAGAUGGUCAAUGUAGAUAUCAACUAAAUACAAGCUGCUAGUGAAAGUUAGUGUAUUUCAUUAAAAUUUGUGUGACACUCAUGUUUUAUAAAGCUGUUGGCUUAUCCAGAAUAUACUCAACCUUAGCAUUCAACCUUAGCAUUCAACGUUUGGAAAUUUUAACCAAUUCAAGAACAGACAUGAAUUCUGUAUGGUAAAGCAAAAUAGAUUUAUACACCAUUCACCAGUAAACACCAAGGCAACACAUGUAUAACCCGAAUGAAUCGCAGCACACAGAACGAAUAGAAUAAGGAAGAUGUGUCCGGAGCCAAGAAAAACAAAAACAAAACUGCAUCACAGGCUGGUUUCUCAUGAACCAGCUCAUAAACACUUCCAAUCUAACAAAGUCUCAACCAUCAUCACAUUUUUGAUCGAUACCAGAACAAAUUAAGAAGGAGUGAAGAUAUGAACCUGAAAUUAGAGCUUUCAAUUAACGAAACUUCAGUGAUUACAACAAUCUAAGCUGACUCGAACAAAGCUGCAACUCAAAACUUGAAACGAACAGCAACAAGAAACAGAAAUCGACGAACUUGAAGCAAAUCAAUACUGAAAUUUUAAAACCCAAACUCGACUCCAACUUAAACUUUAAUCAAGCUUCCUUUUGAGAACCAGAAAUCAAGAGAAAGAAUAAAUGCUAAGAAAUCUGUUUUAGUGAUUUUAUUUUUGAAAUUUUCUCUUGAAAUGAAAUAAACUUAGACCAUUUGUGCUUUUUUGGGUGUUUUCUGAAGAGAAGCAGACUGAAAAGAAACGGCCUGAAAAAAGUGACAACUUCAAGAACCCUAGAAAAUUUUACUCUCCUCAAAUUUCAAAAAUUUUUCUUAGAUCUUUCUCUGAUUUUUUCUCCUACCCCUUAAACAAGAAAACUCACCUUAUAUAUAACCCUCAAAAAUCUCGAAGCUUCUGCCCAAAAAUUCGAAAAAAUCCCCUCAUUUUUGAACGAUUUUAGGGACAAAUAGAAAGCAUGGAUCGAUUUACAUCCAUCCACAGCUCCCAUUCAUCCAGCAAAUCGCUCUAUAGUACACAAAUCGUGCAAAUUCGGGAAUAUUCUUCCUUCUCUGACAGAAAAUCAUUGGAAUAAAGUAACGUGGAGAGGAGGGGGACCCAUUUGAGUGAACUCGCCUGAGUUUUAGACGAGUUGAGGACUGAGUUUGACGAGGAAAAUGAUGAAUAGUACAGUGGGGCGCCGUUUCUGUAUCUAGG